UUGUAUCACAACUUUCGGCAAGUGCAUGCUAAAACAAAGUUUAGUGGAAAAAGUUAACACUAUUUUCAAAUCGAAUCAGGUUAGGUGUCAUGAUGAGAUGAUGUUUAUCAUAACUGCGAAAAUAUGCUCACCUGUGUCUGGUUUUUAUUAUGUUAUUUUAUUUUUAAGUUAAUUAUCGGUAUGGGAUUUAUUAUUUUACAUAUUAAUAUGUAUGUUAACUGAUCGCAUUGUUGAAAUAUAAUAAUAAAUGAUUGAUGUC
rnacentral:lncRNA from 1 species